GAAGUCUGUUUAAGCUAGGUGAGCUAUCAUCAGUGGAGUGACUGUAGUUCUCAGAUUCAGCAAAGUUCAAUUUUGCAUGUGGCAGAACAGGCAACGAGCUAGAAAACAAGCUUGCAUCAGUUGAUGGAUGAUGUGCAGCUGUUCCGAGGUGAAUUUUCCAAGCAUUCGUCUCUACACCAGAAGUCUUUGCUGAUGGAACUUCAGAAUCAUCUGAAAUGAGUUUCUUUAGAGACUUCUCCAUCUAGUCAGUUUCUCAUAGAUGAUGAAAAGUUGAUUAAAGUUGGGAAAAUCACAAACUGCCAAAAGAACAACUUCCUUCUCUCCCGGCGGGACACUAGUUAAGAGAGAGAGAAA
rnacentral:misc_RNA from 1 species